CGGACGGGUGAGUAAUGUCUGGGAAACGUGCCUGAUGGAGGGGGAUAACUACUGGAAACGGUAGCUAAUACCGCAUAACGUCGCAAGACCAAAGAGGGGGACCUUCGGGCCUCUUGCCAUCGGAUGUGCCCAGAUGGGAUUAGCUAGUAGGUGGGUAACGGCUCACCUAGGCGACGAUCCCUAGCUGGUCUGAGAGGAUGACCAGCCACACUGGAACUGAGACACGGUCCAG
rnacentral:rRNA from 1 species